UGGACGCAGGGGUUCUCAGUGGAAGCAGCAGGACACGGCCACCACAGCUGGCGGACCCCGCUCCUCACUCCGGCAUCUCUUCACGCCUCCUGUGCCUCGGCGGGCGCCCAACCUACGCUCCCUGCGUCCCUAGACCUGCUAACCCCAGGCGGACAGAGGAUUUACCUUUGGCUCUUUUCUGCGCUUGGCAGAGGGGUUCCGGCGGGAAUUGGGGCUCCCGCUGGAUUUGCGCAGCCGAGGGAGGCUAAAAGCUGCGUCCGGGAUGGUGGCUCUUUCAGAGCGAGGAGGCGGGAUACCCUCACCGGGGUCCUCGGAGCGUCCCGAACCCGCGCGAAUCGUGCGCUUGACCCGUGCGGGCCCGGGGAGGUGGCCUUUGGGAACCCCAGCCGAUAAACUCCCGUGAUCUCCGCGGGUUCGGAGCACCGAGGCCGACCGCCAGCUCUUGGACCCUGUAUGGAAAGUGGGUAAUGCGGUCGGGUGUCCGGACCCCAAACUUGGAUUACUUGGUGCAUAUCAGCCGGGCUCAGAAGACUCACGAUCUCUCUACCCGUGGAUUGAUUCAUUCUAUCUAGCAGUCGGGUCGCCUACCUGGAGGUGAAAUCAGGUUUGUGUCCAACCUGGGCAGAUGCUCUGAACCAAGAAAGGACAAGAGAGAAGGCCUAGAAAGGAGGAUUGGCAAGGGGCCGCCCUUCCUCCCUACACCUCCCACCAGGAAGCUUCGUGGAGCCACGGCGUGCCACCAGGUCCCCCCCGAAUGACGUGACUCAGGUGUGACCAUCUCUUUAAGAAGCAAGAGCUCUGGAUUGGGUGGAGAAUUCUUAUUUUGGAGGACAAAGAAGGUUCUGGUUUUGAGAAGACGUUUAAGGAGAAAGCCGAGACCCUCGCAUUGGGGAAUAGUCCACGUGAUGACCUGCGUGAGCUGGGAGAUUCGUCGCUGGGAGUGAUGUGUGGUUGGAGAAGGCACCUGUAUCCCAGACUUUGUUUUUCCUUCCUGUGGAAAACGUUACCUCUGCUGCUGGCUCCUACAACUGCCCUCCCCGGCCCGCAGGAACCCCGGGGCGUUCGUCACACCCUUUUCUGCCCCCCACCUCCACGUCAGCUGUGCAGCAAUUCUUGUUUGCUCCGUUAUCUUCUAGCGGAUGCAGAGUGAAUCGUUAACUACACCAAGGUCAAACAGGAUCUUAAUUUUUGUUCCUGUAACUUCUAAAGUACAAGCGUCCCUCCGUGCCCAGGCCGGGAAUAGAAUUCCUCCUCAUCUGUUUGGGAUUUGGCCGCACAGUUUCCGGAGGGACAGUGAUCAAUGCAGAGACGUUCUUCAGGUUCUUGGGGAUGCUGGCGGGGACUUCGGCAUUGGAGCUGGGUGGAGAAGGCUGGCCCCGUGUUCAGCUCCCUUGGUUGGGAUCACACGCGGGUGCACAGCUGCAGGCGCAGCAAACAACCCCUGCCGUUGACUCCAGCUGUGUUGACACAGAGGCAGAGUCUGCUGUGAAGACCCUCUUCUCUCAGGAGGCAGCUGGGGGCCACACCCGAGCUUGGGCCUUCAUUCCAGACUGUCCAGCUACCGGGCCAGUGGAGUUUAUUGUGGAAACUCUUCCUCCAGCAUGUGCUGAUGACUCACACACCUGACAGUGGAUUGGGCCCCAUGAAACUCGAGUCCUGUUUGUGUCAUUCAUUCACUCUGUUGCUGCCACACGUGUGGAUGAAAAUACUUCCUAGGUAUCCAUCACACUUCAAACUUGUCCAAAAUGCAGAGCCAAACACGCUUGUUCUUCCAGUUUCCCAAGCGAAUGGAUGGCUUGCUUUUGUAAGAAAGAAUUAAAG